CCUCAAUUUGUUUGUCCAGGGUUUUCUUAUGAUUUGAUUAAUUCUAUGGAUUUGGGGGAAAAGUAUCACAGAAGCUAUGUGCCCUUUUCAAUGCAUCUGCUCAGUCAUACACAACACCGAUACAUCUUAUUACUUAAAAUAUUUAUCUUGAUCACUUGAUUAAGGACUGGAGAGCGCCCGAGGGUCUCGAACUAGCCUCAGAGAAGUUCUUUAUGGAUUAUACCUGCAUAUUUUGUAGCUUCAUUGGCAUGCCUUAGAUUAUUCUCUGGAUACUUGAUGACAAACAAUGAGGCAUCCUCAAAAAGACAGAGCGUAAAGUUGCCCCUGAAAUAAAAUCCACUCUCCAUAAGUGAAAUUAAACAUCUGUAGGAAACUAAGAGCCUGUGUGUAAAACUGUCAGAGAAGUUUGGAAACACUCAAAACUCUCAGACCAAGAUGCCACGGUGAUCUGGAAGUGUUCCCUAGAAACUGACUGCAAUUUAAUGAGUGGAAAUCAUAUCAACUG
ensembl:lncRNA